AUUGAACGCUGGCGGCAGGCCUAACACAUGCAAGUCGAGCGGAUGAGGGGUGCUUGCACCCCGAUUCAGCGGCGGACGGGCGAGUAAUGCCUAGGAAUCUGCCUGGUAGUGGGGGACAACGUUUCGAAAGGAACGCUAAUACCGCAUACGUCCUACGGGAGAAAGCAGGGGACCUUCGGGCCUUGCGCUAUCAGAUGAGCCUAGGUCGGAUUAGCUAGUUGGUGGGGUAAUGGCUCACCAAGGCGACGAUCCGUAACUGGUCUGAGAGGAUGAUCAGUCACACUGGAACUGAGACACGGUCCAGACUCCUACGGGAGGCAGCAGUGGGGAAUAUUGGACAAUGGGCGAAAGCCUGAUCCAGCCAUGCCGCGUGUGUGAAGAAGGUCUUCGGAUUGUAAAGCACUUUAAGUUGGGAGGAAGGGCAGUAAGCUAAUACCUUGCUGUUUUGACGUUACCGACAGAAUAAGCACCGGCUAACUCUGUGCCAGCCGCCGCGGUAACAC
rnacentral:rRNA from 1 species